rnacentral:tRNA from 1 species
GAUAAUAUAGUGAAGUUCACGUCAUUAUUUCAUGAUGAAAAUGAAUAGUUCUCUUUAUCU